rnacentral:rRNA from 1 species
CCCGUACACAAAAAUGCACAUGCUGUGAGCUCGAUGAGUAGGGCGGGACACGUGGUAUCCUGUCUGAAUAUGGGGGGACCAUCCUCCAAGGCUAAAUACUCCUGACUGACCGAUAGUGAACCAGUACCGUGAGGGAAAGGCGAAAAGAACCCCGGCGAGGGGAGUGAAAAAGAACCUGAAACCGUGUACGUACAAGCAGUGGGAGCACGCUUAGGCGUGUGACUGCGUACCUUUUGUAUAAUGGGUCAGCGACUUAUAUUCUGUAGCAAGGUUAACCGAAUAGGGGAGCCGAAGGGAAACCGAGUCUUAACUGGGCGUUAAGUUGCAGGGUAUAGACCCGAAACCCGGUGAUCUAGCCAUGGGCAGGUUGAAGGUUGGGUAACACUAACUGGAGGACCGAACCGACUAAUGUUGAAAAAUUAGCGGAUGACUUGUGGCUGGGGGUGAAAGGCCAAUCAAACCGGGAGAUAGCUGGUUCUCCCCGAAAGCUAUUUAGGUAGCGCCUCGUGAAUUCAUCUCCGGGGGUAGAGCACUGUUUCGGCAAGGGGGUCAUCCCGACUUACCAACCCGAUGCAAACUGCGAAUACCGGAGAAUGUUAUCACGGGAGACACACGGCGGGUGCUAACGUCCGUCGUGAAGAGGGAAACAACCCAGACCGCCAGCUAAGGUCCCAAAGUCAUGGUUAAGUGGGAAACGAUGUGGGAAGGCCCAGACAGCCAGGAUGUUGGCUUAGAAGCAGCCAUCAUUUAAAGAAAGCGUAAUAGCUCACUGGUCGAGUCGGCCUGCGCGGAAGAUGUAACGGGGCUAAACCAUGCACCGAAGCUGCGGCAGCGACGCUGAUGCGUUGUUGGGUAGGGGAGCGUUCUGUAAGCCUG